rnacentral:rRNA from 1 species
UAAUACGAAGGGGGCGAGCGUUAUUCGGAAUCACUGGGCGUAAAGCGUGCGUAGGCUGUUCGGAAAGUCAGAAGUGAAAGCCCAAGGCUCAACCUUGGAAGCGCUUUUGAAACUACCGGACUAGGAUUUGGGAGAGGAUAGCGGAAUUGUCAGUGUAGCAGUGAAAUGCGUAGAUAUUGACAGGAACACCAGUGGCGCAAGCGGCUAUCUGGACCAACAUCGACGCUGAGGCACGAAAGCGUGGGGAUCAAACAGGAUUAGAUACCCUGGUAGUCCACGCCGUAAACGAUGUGUGUUUGUCGCUGGGGGGUUCCCCUUCGGUGACGAAGCUAACGCGUUAAGCACACCGCCUGGGAAGUACGGCCGCAAGGUUA